rnacentral:tRNA from 1 species
GGGCGGAUAGCUCAGCUGGCAGAGCAUCUGACUUACAUUCAGGAGGUCGGGGGUUCGAGCCCCUCUCCGCCCA